CACUGUCUGUGGCUAGAUUUUGUGCGAAAUUUAAAAAACUAAAAUGAAAGAACUCAACGCAACUUGAAACAUGUUGGUAGCGAUUGUGAGGGCCGGCCAUUGUGAGUUGUUUCUAUUCCUGCAGAAAUAAUGAUGCCACUUCUGAACUGUGACUAAAUUUUUGCCUUGAAAUUUAGCUUGUGCAUCUCCAGACAAGAUUGACAAUGUCAGCCAACUCAGCCCCACACAUAGGGAAUAUAGAGUACUAUUCACCAGAACACACUCACAGCACUAGAAAAGAGGUUCCAUUUGGCAGAAUCGGCCCAGCGGGAAGCGCAGAAUAUGUAUUUAGAUUAGGAAAAGGUUUUUGUCACGCUGGAGGAUGAACUCGAGAAAUUCAGCUCAGAUGUCCAGAAGAUGCCCAGAAACCAGUGAGGUGAUAUAGAGUACUAGAAAAGAGGUUCCAUCUGGUAGAAUUGGACCAGGGGGAAGCGCAGAAUAUGGAGUUAGAUUAGGAAAAGGUUGUUGUCCCUCUGGAGGAUAAACUCAAGAAAUUCAGCUCAGAUGCCCAGAAACCAGUGAGGGUAUAGAGUGCUAUUCACGAGAACACAGCCCUGGAAAAGAGGUUCCAUCUGGCAGAAGUGGCCAAACGGGAAGCGCUGAAUAUGGAGUUAAAUCAGGAAAAGGUGGUCAUGCAGGAGGAUGAACUAAAAAAAAUCAGAUCAGAUGUCCAGAAGAUGCCCAGGAAUGCCACCAGAA